UACAGAGGUCUCAAGCGUUGUUCGGAUUCAUUGGGCGUAAAGGGUGCGUAGGCGGCGCGGUAAGUCGGGUGUGAAAUCUCGGAGCUUAACUCCGAAACUGCAUUCGAUACUGCCGUGCUUGAGGACUGGAGAGGAGACUGGAAUUUACGGUGUAGCGGUGAAAUGCGCAGAUAUCAGGAAGAACACCAACGGCGAAGGCAGCUCGCUGGGACGGUACUGACGCUGAGACGCGAAAGCGUGGGGAGCGAACAGG
rnacentral:rRNA from 1 species